AGAAUGAACGCUGGCGGCAUGCCUAACACAUGCAAGUCGAACGAAGCCUUCGGGCUUAGUGGCGCACGGGUGCGUAACGCGUGGGAAUCUGCCCCUUGGUUCGGAAUAACAGUUAGAAAUGACUGCUAAUACCGGAUAACGACGUAAGUCCAAAGAUUUAUCGCCGAGGGAUGAGCCCGCGUAGGAUUAGCUAGUUGGUGUGGUAAAAAGCGCACCAAGGCGACGAUCCUUAGCUGGUCUGAGAGGAUGAUCAGCCACACUGGGACUGAGACACGGCCCAGACUCCUACGGGAGGCAGCAGUGGGGAAUAUUGGACAAUGGGCGAAAGCCUGAUCCAGCAAUGCCGCGUGAGUGAUGAAGGCCUUAGGGUGUAAAGCUCUUUUACCCGGGAUGAUAAUGACAGUACCGGGAGAAUAAGCCCCGGCUAACUCCGUGCCAGCAGCCGC
rnacentral:rRNA from 1 species